CGCCGAUUCGGCGGCGGUGUACGACACGGCUUGAGUCGCCGUGAGGUCGUUCGGCCCCACAUCGGUGUC
rnacentral:tRNA from 1 species